ACUCCUACGGGAGGCAGCAGUGGGGAAUAUUGGACAAUGGGCGAAAGCCUGAUCCAGCCAUGCCGCAUGAGUGAAGAAGGCCUUUGGGUUGUAAAGCUCUUUUAGUGAGGAAGAUAAUGACGGUACUCACAGAAGAAGUCCUGGCUAACUCCGUGCCAGCAGCCGCGGUAAUACGGAGAGGGCUAGCGUUAUUCGGAAUUAUUGGGCGUAAAGGGCGCGUAGGCUGGUUAGUAAGUUAAAAGUGAAAUCCCGAGGCUUAACCUUGGAACUGCUUUUAAAACUGCUAACCUAGAGAUUGAAAGAGGAUAGAGGAAUUCCUAGUGUAGAGGUGAAAUUCGUAAAUAUUAGGAGGAACACCAGUGGCGAAGGCGUCUAUCUGGUUCAAAUCUGACGCUGAAGCGCGAAGGCGUGGGGAGCAAACAGGAUUAGAUACCCAGUAGU
rnacentral:rRNA from 1 species